GCCUAAUGAGCCUGUGGAGGAGCUGAGAUACCGGGUCGAGAUAAAUGGAAAUAUUUUCAGACUACGAGUUCCAGUCAGAGUAAAUGCUGAAAAUGAACAAAAGAGUCUUCAAAUUGACAAUCUUCAGGGUGGGAAAGAAUAUACUUGAAGGGCACAAGGAAGAGAUCGAGAAAAGUCAACCACUCCUUGCUUGAUGAUGCAAAUUGCAUCAAGACCCUUUGCCUUCAAAAAUUCACAUGCUGAAGAUGGCAUUAGCUUCCGAACUAAUAUUUCUGACGCUUCCUCUGAGAUAGUUUUUGAGACCAAAGAAAUAUUAUAGGCUGACAACUGAGAUUUUGGCUGAAACAUUGAUGGCUAAUAUGAAGUCUAUUGUACCUGUCCUUACGUGAUGCCAACUAUUUCCCUUCACAUGGAAAGUAGAAGUAAUAUGGCAGGGUAGAAAGAAACUCAGAUAAGGAGUCAGAAGAUAGAGGCUUCCAGAUUAGAGCCACUGGCUAUUAACUGCUCAAAUUUGGGCUACUCCCCUAACGACUGAGAAACUAAAAGUACUUGAAUACUGAGAAUGGUAGAUGGCAUGGCUUGGAUCUCUGUCCCUGCCCAAAUCUCAUGUCAAACUGUAAUCUCCAAUAUUGGAGGUAGGGCCUGGUGGGAGGUCAUUGGAUCAUGGAGGCAGAUUUCUCAUUAAUGGUUUAACAGCAUCCCCUUGGCACUGCCCUUGUGCUCGUGAAUGAGUUCUCAUGACAUCUGGUCUUUUAAAAGCGUGUAACACCUCCCCACUCCUUGCUCCUGCUCCUGCCAUGUGAGAUGACUCGCUCACAAUGAUUGGAAGCUUCCUGCGGCCUCCCUAGAAGCAGAAGCCAUUACGCUUCCUUUGCAGCCUGCAGAUCCAUGAGCCAACUAAACCUUUUUCUUGAUAAAUUACUCAGUUUCAGGUAUUUCUUUACAGCAGAGUGAGAAUGCACUAAUAAUACAACAGAGUUGCUGUAAAAAAUGAAAUAAAACCAUAAAUGUGAAAGUGCCCUGAAAACUCUUAAUUCAUA
rnacentral:lncRNA from 1 species